rnacentral:rRNA from 1 species
UUAUUUGCUCAUGGGUUGUGGAUUCAUUGGAAAACUGAGGGUCCCGUCCGCUCCCCUGAACAUAAACCGCGAAGCGCCGGACUAGUAGUUGGGUCGGUGACGACCAGCGAAUCCCCGGUGUUGUAUGUU